AACGAACGCUGGCGGCAGGCCUAACACAUGCAAGUCGAGCGCGCCCUUCGGGGUGAGCGGCGGACGGGUGAGUAACGCGUGGGAACGUGCCCUUUUCUACGGAAUAGCCUCGGGAAACUGAGAGUAAUACCGUAUACGCCCUUUGGGGGAAGGAUUUAUCGGAAAAGGAUCGGCCCGCGUUGGAUUAGGUAGUUGGUGGGGUAAUGGCCUACCAAGCCGACGAUCCAUAGCUGGUUUGAGAGGAUGAUCAGCCACACUGGGACUGAGACACGGCCCAGACUCCUACGGGAGGCAGCAGUGGGGAAUCUUAGACAAUGGGGGCAACCCUGAUCUAGCCAUGCCGCGUGAGUGAUGAAGGCCUUAGGGUUGUAAAGCUCUUUCAGCUGGGAAGAUAAUGACGGUACCAGCAGAAGAAGCCCCGGCUAACUCCGUG
rnacentral:rRNA from 1 species